UUCCAGAAGCGGGGGUGCCGGCGCAACGGUCGGCUGAGAGAGUCCCUUCGAACCUGAUCCGGUUAGCACCGGUGUAGGGAGCUUCGCCGCACGACGU
rfam:Rhodanobacter sp. C06 NODE_21_length_81893_cov_11.7093_ID_41, whole genome shotgun sequence.